rnacentral:rRNA from 1 species
UGCAUAACUUCCAUACCAAGGUUAGCACGAUUGAUGAUAUCAGCCCAAG